UGUGUGCGUCUGUCUGUCUGUUCAGGUCUGUUUCAGACUACGUCUGCCUGUCUGUCCAGGUCUGUUUUAGGCUGUGUCUGUCUGUCUGUCUGGGUCUGUUUCAGGCUGUGUCUGUCUGUCUGUCCGGGUCUGUUUCAGGCUGUGUCUGGGUCUGUUUCAGGCUGUGUCUGUCUGUCUGUCCGGGUCUGUUUCAGGCUGUGUCUGGGUCUGUUUCAGGCUGUCUGUCUGUCUGUCUGGGUCUGUUUCAGGCUGUGUCUGUCUGUCUGUUUGUCUGGGUCUGUUUCAGGCUGUAUGUGUGUCUGCUCUUUGCUUCUGCUCCUGGCUCUGUGUGUAUUUCCCGG
rnacentral:lncRNA from 1 species